CCUACGGGGGGCAGCAGUGAGGAAUAUUGGUCAAUGGGCGGAAGCCUGAACCAGCCAAGUCGCGUGAGGGAUUAAGGCCCUAUGGGUCGUAAACCUCUUUUGUCAGGGAGCAAUGGCGUCCACGUGUGGGCGUAUGGAGAGUACCUGAAGAAAAAGCAUCGGCUAACUCCGUGCCAGCAGCCGCGGUAAUACGGAGGAUGCGAGCGUUAUCCGGAUUUAUUGGGUUUAAAGGGUGCGCAGGCGGCACGGCAAGCCGGCGGUCAAAUCGCGGGGCUCAACCCCGCCCAGCCGUCGGAACUGCCGGG
rnacentral:rRNA from 1 species